GUGGGGAAUUUUGGACAAUGGGCGCAAGCCUGAUCCAGCAAUGCCGCGUGCAGGAAGAAGGCCUUCGGGUUGUAAACUGCUUUUGUACGGAACGAAACGGUCCUGGCUAAUAUCCGGGGCUAAUGACGGUACCGUAAGAAUAAGCACCGGCUAACUACGUGCCAGCAGCCGCGGUAAUACGUAGGGUGCUAGCGUUAAUCGGAAUUACUGGGCGUAAAGCGUGCGCAGGCGGUGCUGUAAGACAGGCGUGAAAUCCCCGGGCUCAACCUGGGAAUUGCGCUUGUGACUGCAGUGCUGGAGUGCGGCAGAGGGGGAUGGAAUUCCGCGUGUAGCAGUGAAAUGCGUAGAUAUGCGGAGGAACACCGAUGGCGAAGGCAAUCCCCUGGGCCUGCACUGACGCUCAUGCACGAAAGCGUGGGGAGCAAACAGGAUUAGAAACCCGGGUAGUCC
rnacentral:rRNA from 1 species